AAGACCCCUUGAAGACGACGAGGUUGAUAGGCCUGAGGUGGAAGUGCAGCAAUGUAUGGAGCUGACAGGUACUAAUCGGUCGAGGGCUUAUCCAA
rnacentral:rRNA from 1 species